rnacentral:rRNA from 1 species
CGGGUGAGUAACGCGUGAGGAACCUGCCUCACACAGGGGGAUAACAGUUGGAAACGGCUGCUAAUACCGCAUAAGCGCACAGUACCGCAUGGUACAGUGUGAAAAACUCUGGUGGUGUGAGAUGGACCCGCGUCUGAUUAGCUGGUUGGCAGGGUAACGGCCUACCAAGGCGACGAUCAGUAGCCGACCUGAGAGGGUGACCGGCCACAUUGGGACUGAGACACGGCCCAGACUCCUACGGGAGGCAGCAUG